rnacentral:lncRNA from 1 species
GGAGAUGGUACUGGAGUCGCCAGUAUUUACCGGGGGCCAUUUGCAGAUGAAAAUUUUAAACUUAGACACUCAGCUCCAGGCCUGCUUUCCAUGGCGAACAGUGGUCCAAGUACAAAUGGCUGUCAGUUCUUUAUCACCUGCUCUAAGUGCGAUUGGCUGGAUGGGAAGCAUGUGGUGUUUGGAAAAAUCAUCGAUGGACUUCUAGUGAUGAGAAAGAUUGAGAAUGUUCCCACAGGCCCCAACAAUAAGCCCAAGCUACCUGUGGUGAUCUCGCAGUGUGGGGAGAUGUAGUCCAGACAAAGACUGAAUCAGCACUUCCCAGGAGCCUGCCCACAGCUGUGGCUAACAUCAGGCCUUCCCUUCUUCUUGGUGGUGUUCUUGAGUAAGAUAAUCUGGACUGGCCCCCGUCUUUGCUUCCCUGCCUGCUGCUGCCCCAUUUGAUCAAGAGACCAUGGAAGUGUCAGAGAUUCAGAAUCCAAGAUUGUCUUUAAGUUUUCAACUGUAAAUAAAGUUUUUUUGUAUGCGUA